UGAACUCCACAUACGCAUCCUUUGCUGAAGGCAAUGGUUAACGGAGCGAAAGCGACGUUCAACCGCAAAACAAGCAGAGGGGGCUUAGUGGUGGGGUGACUGCGUACCUUUUGUAUAAUGGGUCAGCGACUUAUAUUCUGUAGCAAGGUUAACCGUAUAGGGGAGCCGGAGGGAAACCGAGUCUUAAUUGGGCGUUAAGUUGCAGGGUAUAGACCCGAAACCCGGUGAUCUAGCCAUGGGCAGGUUGAAGGUUGGGUAACACUAACUGGAGGACCGAACCGACUAAUGUUGAAAAAUUAGCGGAUGACCUGUGGCUGGGGGUGAAAGGCCAAUCAAACCGGGAGAUAGCUGGUUCUCCCCGAAAGCUAUUUAGGUAGCGCCUCGUGAAUUCAUCUCCGGGGGUAGAGCACUGUUUCGGCUAGGGGGCCAUCCCGGCUUACCAACCCGAUGCAAACUGCGAAUACCGGAGAAUGUUAUCACGGGAGACACACGGCGGGUGCUAACGUCCGUCGUGAAGAGGGAAACAACCCAGACCGCCAGCUAAGGUCCCAAAGUCAUGGUUAAGUGGGAAACGAUGUGGGAAGGCCCAGACAGCCAGGAUGUUGGCUUAGAAGCAGCCAUCAUUUAAAGAAAGCGUAAUAGCUCACUGGUCGAGUCGGCCUGCGCGGAAGAUGUAACGGGGCUAAACCAUGCACCGAAGCUGCGGCAGCGAACGUAUCACUUAAAGCGAUUCAGCGGGUUACGAUUGACGGAGCGAAGCGACGUCAAAGCGUAUACAAAGUCGAGUCGGUUUAAGGAUACGUUCGUUGGGUAGGGGAGCGUUCUGUAAGCCUGCGAAGGUGGCCUGUGAGGGUUGCUGGAGGUAUCAGAAGUGCGAAUGCUGACAUAAGUAACGAUAAAGCGGGUGAAAAGCCCGCUCGCCGGAAGACCAAGGGUUCCUGUCCAACGUUAAUCGGGGCAGGGUGAGUCGACCCCUAAGGCGAGGCCGAAAGGCGUAGUCGAUGGGAAACGGGUUAAUAUUCCCGUACUUGGUGUUACUGCGAAGGGGGGACGGAGAAGGCUAUGUUGGCCGGGCGACGGUUGUCCCGGUUUAAGCGUGUAGGCUGGUUUUCCAGGCAAAUCCGGAAAAUCAAGGCUGAGGCGUGACGACGAGGCACUACGGUGCUGAAGCAACAAAUGCCCUGCUUCCAGGAAAAGCCUCUAAGCAUCAGGUAACACGAAAUCGUACCCCAAACCGACACAGGUGGUCAGGUAGAGAAUACCAAGGCGCUUGAGAGAACUCGGGUGAAGGAACUAGGCAAAAUGGUGCCGUAACUUCGGGAGAAGGCACGCUGACACGUAGGUGAAGUGAUUUACUCAUGGAGCUGAAGUCAGUCGAAGAUACCAGCUGGCUGCAACUGUUUAUUAAAAACACAGCACUGUGCAAACACGAAAGUGGACGUAUACGGUGUGACGCCUGCCCGGUGCCGGAAGGUUAAUUGAUGGGGUCAGCGCAAGCGAAGCUCCUGAUCGAAGCCCCGGUAAACGGCGGCCGUAACUAUAACGGUCCUAAGGUAGCGAAAUUCCUUGUCGGGUAAGUUCCGACCUGCACGAAUGGCGUAAUGAUGGCCAGGCUGUCUCCACCCGAGACUCAGUGAAAUUGAACUCGCUGUGAAGAUGCAGUGUACCCGCGGCAAGACGGAAAGACCCCGUGAACCUUUACUAUAGCUUGACACUGAACAUUGAGCCUUGAUGUGUAGGAUAGGUGGGAGGCUUUGAAGCGUGGACGCCAGUCUGCGUGGAGCCGACCUUGAAAUACCACCCUUUAAUGUUUGAUGUUCUAACGU
rnacentral:rRNA from 1 species